UACGGAGGGCGCGAGCGUUGUUCGGAAUCACUGGGCGUAAAGCGCGUGUAGGCGGCCGGGCAAGUCGGAUGUGAAAUCCCGAGGCUCAACCUCGGAACGGCAUUCGAAACUGCUCGGCUCGAGUCCCGGAGAGGAUGGCGGAAUUCCCGGUGUAGGGGUGAAAUCCGUAGAUAUCGGGAGGAACACCAGUGGCGAAGGCGGCCAUCUGGACGGUGACUGACGCUGAGACGCGAAAGCGUGGGGAGCAAACAGG
rnacentral:rRNA from 1 species